rnacentral:rRNA from 1 species
UACGUAGGUGGCAAGCGUUGUCCGGAUUUAUUGGGUUUAAAGGGUGCGUAGGCGGUUAAUUAAGUCAGUGGUGAAAUACGUCAGCUUAACUGGCGAGGUGCCAAUGAUACUGAUUGACUUGAGUACUGUUGAGGUAGGCGGAAUGGACGGUGUAGCGGUGAAAUGCUUAGAUAUCGUCCAGAACACCGAUAGCGAAGGCAGCUUACUAAAGAGUAACUGACGCUGAGGCACGAAAGUGUGGGGAUCAAACAGG